rnacentral:sRNA from 1 species
AGGAUCUAUCUGGGGUUGUCACUAAAGUGGCCUGAGGCACCAUUUGCCUAGGGCACAUUUUCUUGUGGCCUCAGAAGGCUCUUUCCUCACUUCCUUUCCAGUAUGCACUUGAACUUGCUGUAGACUCCACACCCUUCAGUAUGGCAACACGACUACCUAAUCCUUAGAGGAUGUGCAGCCAACCAAGCUCUGUUUCCUGCCACCUUUGCAGCACUGGGGAAAAGCAAGUCAAUCAAAGAAACUGCUUUAAAAACUGUGACGUCAAGCUGGGUAUGGUGUCUCAUACCUGCACUUGGGACACUGAGGCAGGAGGACUGCUGAGAGUCUGAGACCAGCUUGGGCUACAAGUGAGACUGUCUCAAACAAAACAACCCCCCCCCAAAAAAAACAAAAAAAAACAAGAAAGAAAAGAAUACCAUGAUGUCCUGGCAUCAGUGGCUCUUGGAUCACUCUGGUUUUCUCUACCCUGACUGUAUCAACAAACUAAUUCCUUAGAACUACCAUGUGGCCAGAAACGGCUACUGCCUGGCAUCCCAGGAAAGGUUUUGCAUGAUUUCCUUCAUGACUGUAUAUGCUUUUCUUCUUAAUGCUUUGGCCUUGCCUGCUUGGUAAAAGCGUUCAAUGGCACGCAGAUGUGUUCUCUGUACUGUGUAUUCCCACUCUGUCCAGGUCCUCAGUUGAUGUCCCCGUCUUCUCCAGAUACUAACAUCACAGAGUGUUGACACAGGCAGGGCUCAUCUGUAGAAGAUCCUUUCUCUAGCCUGAGUGUUGCCCAGGCUUUAUUAGGAAAAACCUUCCAAAUGUUAGAGGCUGGGAGUUUCAGCAUGAAAAUCUGGUCAAAUGAUCUCACUAGAGACUCGUUUGUCUCUGUAUUAACAAUGACACUCCUCCCAUUGCCGAUCCCAGCUAUCUUAUUAAAGGGAUCACGGUAAUUAUUUUUUGUGUUAUUAUUAGACCAGUUCUGUUUUCUUGGGGACCACAGAUUUCUAUUGUGCUUAGAUGUCUUUGGGCAAAUGCCUGUCCACAUGAUCACUCACCAUUGUAGGCCCUGUGUCUGGGCUGGCCACGACAUCCACAGUCACAGAGCUAGGUGAGGCUGUUCAAGGCGGGACUUUCUGGGGAUACUGCCCUCUGUUUUCUUCUCCCUUGUGGAAGUUCAUGAAAGGUUUGGCUCUUCUUUCUAUUUGGCUGAAUACAGAGCUGGACAGUCUCUCAGAGUCCUGAUAGGAUAAGAACUACGUCCUUGGGUAGUUACACAGCUUCAGGCCCUUUGACAGCCCUUAGAGAUAUGUCUGCAUCUUUCUUGCCACGAGUUGGAAGACCGGAAGCACUGCAGAGUGAAGGUCCUUUCAGAGAACAGUUUUUUUUUUUCUGGUCCAACUACUUUUGCUCUUUCUCUCCUAUGUCUUUUCUGUUUUAGCCCAGGCUGUCAUAGGACUUGUCAUCCUGUGGCCACUGCCUCCUGCGUGACAGAAUUGCACGUGUACACCAGCAUGCUUGGUUUAUAUGUUUGUGCACGCUCAACACACUACCAACUGAGCCAUAUCCCAACCUCCGUUUUGCUUUCUUCUUGAGGGUCCAGUUUCUCAAAUUGACUAAGCUACACGCUUGGGAAGAGUCACAGAAUGCAUGGGUCACGGCCAUUGUAUACUUUCCUUUCUUAAAACAUAGAAUACAGUUGACUGUUGGCUUGCUUUGCUGAGAAACCAGGUAGUCCAGAAAGGAGGUGGGUCUGUUGAAGUCAGUGGGAUACUCUUUUGUUUUUAGUCUGAGAAGUGCCGUCUAUUGGAGAGGAAGUUUAAAUUGCCCAAUGCUCAGAAAUCUGAGAAAAUGUGCUUUUACAGAUGCUGACUGGUAACUCAGGCAGGCACUCGUCUGGGAAAAAUAAGCUGGAAGAGUGAGGCUAGCCCUCCGGCCAAGGGGCAGAACUGAGAGUAGCAGCCUGCCAGGGUUUGGGGCAGUGCUCUUGCCCACCUCAAUCCGUGUGAUUGCUUGUACUAUGCUUUUUCUUCUCUGUUUGAGAUAAUCCUCCACUACUUGCAAAAACCAAGACAAACAAAAACAAAAGACAAACAAAAACCCAAGCAAACAAGAAACCAAAACCAAACAACAGAUCCUAGCUAGAUUUUGCUUUUUUGAAGAAAUCUUAUAUAGGUCCAUUUGGGUACAGUUCUGAUCAUCUGGGCCCGAACAGCACCCACAGGUAUUUGAACGCUGAAGGACGUCUUCUCUUCGUGCAUUGUGGGAGUAGCUACAUCAAGGUUUGGUACGUGGAAUGAUUCCAGGAGGACAAAUGACUUAUAGGACACCAUUGAGAUGGCCACUGGCUUGGGCAUAGUGAAAGGUGCCCUUUGAUGCCCUUUACCUGUAGAGAGACCUUUCUCCUCACUGCUUCAUUAGUGAUAUUUUUCUUGCUGGGGUACAUGCUGGUUCUAGUUCAGAGAGUCUCAAUGUUUUGGGAGGGCACGGUGUUGCUUCUAUGACCUCUUGCGUUAAAAGCCCAGAGGUAGGAAAGCUUUGUAGCUACAUGGCAGAUGCUGGGCUCCAAGCUGCACUGCUGUUACUUCAGCUCUUUGCUGAAUAUGCAGCAGCCAGAUGAGGCCCUGGGACGGGACGGUCCUCCAUGACACUUCUCUUUACGUUAGAGAGACGUUCACUGGCUUGGACUCAGGAGGCUGUCUCAUUUGAAUGUCUGCUUCUUUAGGAUGACUGGAGUCAGUAUUGCUCAGGGUUAAAAGGCCUUCCACCUAGGCUGAUUGACAUUAUAGUCCGCAAGGGUUAGGGCAGAACCCCUGCUUCUCCCACCCUGGCCAGGUUUCUCUACUUAAUCAAUGCACAGGGCCAUCAAAACCAGCGUUUGCCUCACCUUCCAACCUACCAUACAGGAACCAUUCAUUUGGAAGCAAGAUAUUUGUGAGACAUUCUUUUUCCUAGGGUCACUUUUAACGGUCCCACAAAUGAAGUUAUUUCUUCUAUAAAUAUCCCACAGCGGCUUUUGGUCAGAAAUUAUACAAGCAGCAAAAGCAUAUUUCGUAAAUUCGUUUUCUAGUUCUGAACUGGAGGAAGAAGGAGGCCAAAGAACGCUUGGAGGUAUAUAGUGCUAAGUUUAGACACAGCCAUCUGAUUGGAUGAAGAAUGUCAUUCAAUCUUGUGAAAUCCUCUGGACAGAUAUCCCAGGAAUCUAAUGUUGAUUUUGGGAAGCUGGUCUAAUAAUCUUUGGACUGCAGUAGCUUUCAUCAUGCAGACCUCCUUAUCACACAGUCUUGAUGAAGAUAUUCUUUCUAGAAUAGUUUUCAGGUCUACUUAGACUCUGGACUUUAGUUUAUCCUUUAGCUCCCUGCAGGAAUUCACAAUAGCCAACAGACUGAAGAGGCCUAUUGCGAGGGGAAUUUCGGUUCUUUGUUUUUAAUU